rnacentral:rRNA from 1 species
GAUGAACGCUGGCGGCGUGCCUAAUACAUGCAAGUCGAGCGAACGGACGAGAAGCUUGCUUUUCUGAUGUUAGCGGCGGACGGGUGAGUAACACGUGGAUAACCUACCUCUAAGACUGGGAUAACUUCGGGAAACCGGAGCUAAUACCGGAUAAUAUUUUGAACCGCAUGGUUCAAAAGUGAAAGACGGUCUUGCUGUCACUUAUAGAUGGAUCCGCGCUGCAUUAGCUAGUUGGUAAGGUAACGGCUUACCAAGGCAACGAUGCAUAGCCGACCUGAGAGGGUGAUCGGCCACACUGGAACUGGGACACGGUCCAGACUCCUACGGGAGGCAGCAGUAGGGAAUCUUCCGCAAUGGGCGAAAGCCUGACGGAGCAACGCCGCGUGAGUGAUGAAGGUCUUCGGAUCGUAAAACUCUGUUAUUAGGGAAGAACAUAUGUGUAAGUAACUGUGCACAUCUUGACGGUACCUAAUCAGAAAGCCACGGCUAACUACGUG